AGAGCGAACGCUGGCGGCAGGCCUAACACAUGCAAGUCGAGCGCCCCGCAAGGGGAGCGGCAGACGGGAGAGUAACACGUGGGAACGUGCCCUUUGGUUCGGAACAACACAGGGAAACUUGUGCUAAUACCGGAUAAGCCCUUACGGGGAAAGAUUUAUCGCCAAAGGAUCGGCCCGCGUCUGAUUAGCUAGUUGGUGAGGUAACGGCUCACCAAGGCUACGAUCAGUAGCUGGUCUGAGAGGAUGAUCAGCCUCACUGGGACUGAGACACGGCCCAGACUCCUACGGGAGGCAGCAGUGGGGAAUAUUGGACAAUGGGCGCAAGCCUGAUCCAGCCAUGCCGCGUGGGUGAUGAAGGCCCUAGGGUUGUAAACGUCCCUUUCGGGCGGGGAAGAUAAUGACGGUACCGCAGAAGAACGCCCGGCUAACUUCGUGCCAGCAGCCGC
rnacentral:rRNA from 1 species